UUAUCCCGUGUUUUAAGUACCGCCGCAAGUUUCUCAACAUGUUUGAGGAGGCGACACACUUUGGCGCAAUCCUUUCCAGAGGUCUACUGAAACCUCAAAGGCAGGCACACGAUCAUUCCAAAAUCGACCCUAUAGUGAGUGAGUUCAAACAAUAGAGAAUAUUCCAAAUCUAAAAUUCAAUUGUGCGGUGUGAUAGUUAAAUUGCAACGGUAAAUCACUUGUGAAUUUGAAUUAGAAAAUUAUAUUAAAUUUAAUUCUUUUCCAUAGUGGCACAGUGAGUGCAUUUGCAAAGAUAAAAUAUAAGCCAACUAAAAAGUGAGCUUUAAUAGUACAGGCCAAAACCUUCGAACGAAGGUUUUUAUUACGGGCAGGUCCAAAUCGGAAGUGGCCACGAGAAAAGACGGCACUCCCGUCGAACAAGCCGCCGCCUCGUGGGCGUUGGUCCCAAGCUCCAUUUUGGACCACGCUCCCCAUUCCACCCCAUUGUUGGGGGAACAAUACCGGUGCGUCGCCACAUGCUUCGUAGGGGUCCCAGCAAACACCCUGAGUAAGUGAAGCCUAUCAUUCGCACGUUUCUCGAAUCGCCUGCAAUUUUCCGCUAGACGUGACUGGCCCUACGCGAUCCUUCACCGGCGCCGUCGCGCUAGCCCCGCUGCAACCAGGUGUGCAGUGAGACGUGUGAAGACCAGCGUUCAUCCGAUCUCGUGGUUCCGCUGACCACAGCCAGUCCGUUCACAAUCGAACGGCUUACAGU
rnacentral:lncRNA from 11 species